UUUGUUGUCAUCCCUCACGACAAAGCUCUUCUUGCCACAGCUCCUUAGUUGGAGCAUUGUACCCCUCAUAUAACUGGGGCCGAACAUCUGUAGCAGAUGGUAAACGGAAACAACGGCCCAUGCCUCACCCGCAAGCGUGAUAAGGAUCUGACACACCUCCAGGGCAUAAGGUGUGAGUUAAGCCGAACAUACGUAAUAGAAGCAGUAAAUCUAUUCCGCCAAAGGGCUAAGCAGAAAGCUAUACCCAAUCUUAAGAGCAUAUUUUAGAAUGUACAAAAAUCGGACCUAUGUCAUUGGCAUGGUGUGUCCCGGCCGGAGCUAUCUCAACAUGAUCAGAAAUGUUGUACCUGGUUCUGAUAACGUCUAGGUGAGACUGGAGUAAAUCACUCUCCUCCCAAGGAUGAGAGGGGCUUGUCGUAUUGAAGUCUUUUCUCGCACUCAAAUCCUUCGGUAAAAUGUUGUCUACCAUCAAAGGAACAAGGGUUUUUCUUGCUCCUUCCCCUUCGCCAUCAGAAGAGGGUGGAACCCUAGAAGGGGCACUGCCCUUAGCCUUUUUGCUUCCUUGGCAUUUUUCCAUAAUACACAGUGAAAGAAUGAAGUACUAGUAGUGAGUGAGACAACUUUCAGGAAUAGUAUCUCUCUGAAAACGAUGUAACUAUUGCAAGAAGAAAGGAUGAGGAAAGAAACGGAGGGAAACUCUCCAAAAGAUCAAAAGAUGAAACUCUUCAAACUACUAUCCUAUUAAUAGGAGUAAGGCACACGGAAAUCGAAGAUGCUCAAUUCUGAAACUGGCACCGAAAACUCAAAUGUCACAUCGUAUCCUGGAUAGUCUCGAGAACAGGUACAAUGAUAACACAUAUGACUGUUGACGUCACCUUAGAAAAGGUGGGUCACAUGUCAAUGGCUCAACAAAUUCUAUACACGUUCACACCCUGUGAAGGAGGCGCCUAUGGGUGUGGCCAAAUUUCCGUAAAAGGCAAAUCAUGCAUGUCCGUCCAUUGAAGACGAUCAUCGAGUACGUCUCCAUCGAACGAAGGGACUAACUGUAUAGGGCAAAAUUUGGCUCAUAACGUCGCCAGGUGGGUACGUCCCCCAUGAUAAGGGUGACCCGAGCAAGGGUGCGGCCCAAAUCGACAAAGAAAGAACAACACCGUUUAACACCUGACCCUUUUACUGAGUGGAAGCCACCAACCUUCGUACUUCUUUUUUGUUUUUUCGAGGAAGG
rnacentral:lncRNA from 1 species